AACGAACGCUGGCGGCGUGCCUAACACAUACAAGUCGAGCGAGAAAGCCCGCAAGGGUGAGUAAAGCGGCGCACGGGUGCGUAACACGUGGGUAAUCUGCCCUGAAGUCCGGAAUAACUCGCCGAAAGGCGUGCUAAUGCCGGAUAAGACCACGGGAACCUCGGUUCCUGCGGGAAAAGGUGGCCUCUGUACACAAGCUAUCACUUCAGGAUGAGCCCGCGGCCCAUCAGCUAGUUGGCGGGGUAAUGGCCCACCAAGGCUACGACGGGUAGCUGGUCUAAGAGGACGAUCAGCCACACUGGAACUGAGACACGGUCCAGACUCCUACGGGAGGCAGCAAUGGGGAAUCUUGCGCAAUGGGCGAAAGCCUGACGCAGCAACGCCGCGUGUGUGAUGAAGGUCUUCGGAUCGUAAAGCACUGUCGGGAGGGACGAAUAGGGCGCCGGCUAACAUCCGGCGCUGAUGACGGUACCUCCAAAGGAAGCACCGGCUAACUCUGUGCCAGCAGCCGCAGUAAAAC
rnacentral:rRNA from 1 species